ACGGGAGGCAGCAGUGGGGAAUAUUGCACAAUGGAGGAAACUCUGAUGCAGCAACGCCGCGUGAAGGAAGAAGGUCUUCGGAUUGUAAACUUCUGUUUUUAGUGACGAAACAAAGGACGGUAGCUAAAGAGGAAGCCACGGCUAACUACGUGCCAGCAGCCGCGGUAAUACGUAGGUGGCAAGCGUUGUCCGGAUUUACUGGGUGUAAAGGGUGCGCAGGCGGGACUGCAAGUUGGAUGUGAAAUACCGAGGCUCAACCUCGGAGCUGCAUCCAAAACUGUAGUUCUUGAGUGAAGUAGAGGUAAGCGGAAUUCCGAGUGUAGCGGUGAAAUGCGUAGAUAUUCGGAGGAACACUAGUGGCGAAGGCGGCUUACUGGGCUUUAACUGACGCUGAGGCACGAAAGCAUGGGUAGCAAACAGGAUUAGAUACCCUGGUA
rnacentral:rRNA from 1 species